UCCAGAUCGUUUUUCUCUUACUAUCUCUCUCUAAAAUUCUCUCUCGACGUUUCUCUCUCCCACCGACUUUCCCUUCUCGUCUUCGCGUUUUUUUUUCUUUGGCCGCACCACCCCUCGUCGGCAUUCAGCCUCUCGCCGGCGAACUCUCCGGCGUUGCCAACCGUCCUCAACGCUCUUCUGCCCUUCCUCAAGUCCCAGGUGGCUGUGAUUAACCGGAAAAGUCGCCGGUGAUCUUUUUGUAUCCAAUCUGGUGGCUGUUCUGUCCAGCAGCAAACCGGAGCAAAUUCGGUGUCAUCUUCAGCAUCUCCGGCAAUCUUAGUCCCUUUUGGACAGUCUUUGACGUUCCUAAGGGUUGUGGUGGCUCGGGUCUGCGUUGAGUUCAGAGAAGGUUCGCCAACGAUUUUUCUCUCCAUCGAGUGUUCUCUCUCUACGGUUCGAUCGGUUAGGGUUUUUACUCCAUUGGCGAGGGAUCGAAGAUCGGAGGCCGGUGGUAGGGGAUUCGCUGGGGUUUUCUCUCUCGGACUCCCUCUCGCUCUGAUUCUCUCUAGUUUGCUCGAUCGCGGCGACAUCCGCAAAGACAGCGGUGGCAUUGACGAUUCCGGGAUAUACAUUCUUCAAUCCCAUCACUCGACAUCUACACUUUCGAGGAAAAAAAGCACUUUCAAGCCUUGUCAAGUGAUGACUUCAAUUUUCCAACGUAUCACGUCAAAUGAUGUAUUACAAAUUAACACCACGUCAACUUGUCUCAUGAGGUUGGUCUACUUGAGAGGACACCCUCACUUUCACCCUGUUGCACCCUAGAGAAUCUUUUAUCUCAUUUACAGCCGUUGAUGGUUCUAAGCAUGAACUUUGGCCCGAUUCUGGUGAGUAGACCUUCGAAGGGAAUCUUCUAGCUAAUGUAAUCUUUUGUUCUUACCUUUUUUUUUCGUGCUGCAAAGGCCUAGGUAACUGGAGAGCUAUACUCCCUAGUAAACCAAGAGGCGAUUGCAUCAUGCCACUUUUUGAAACUCUUACAUUUGUUUGCCAAAAUUUGCAUUUGGUUAUCUGCUGGAAGACCGGGGUAAGAGGGUCACAAAUUCCUUGUUUAACCAAGAUCCAAGUGCAUUGUUCAAGAUUUAGGCAAGCCUCUAGCAUCUUCGAUCACCAAAAUUUGGUUAGGAUUGAAUUUUUAGCACUCUGGUAUCAUUUUAGCAGAAAUAUUCUUGAAACCAUAGGUGCUUUAAGUGAUUAACGAGAAAUAAAGGAGUAGAGAUAACAAAAUUGAGGUAAAGUAUAGGAGAGGUUCAGCCUUCCACCUUUCUCCUCUCUUUUCAUGUACUACCAGCCCAGCCUUCAAUCACAGCUAAAUCCACUGCUUCCACCCAAUAUAUUACAACUCAUACCAUAUGUUCCACAUAACUUCAACAUCAGUUGCUUCUGUGUUAAACCCUUGUACAGCACCAGCAGUCUUUGAACAAUGAUCUCCUAUCAAUGCUCCUAUUUAGUUAAGCCUCUCCUUCUCAUAUAAAUUUCUAAGCCCACUCCGCAAUGCUUACUAGAGAGAAGGCGAUACAAGAAUUGUUCAAAAUACACUCAAGGUCUUGCUAAGUUGGGCACAAAUGGAAGUACAAGAACCAAGGUAUAGGCUCUUCAUAUUGGUGGUAUUCUCGUUAUUCCUCAUUCUUGUCCCCUGCUCUGAAUUCCAAUACUCAGUUCUCUAUGAUUGAAAUGUCAGAGGUCCCUUAGCCAGCAAUCAUUGUCUUCCACUCUUCCAUCCUUGUGUGAAUCUUCAUAUGGCCUUGUAUUAAUCAAAGUCAAUUCAUAGGUUCAUGAGAUUUCGUUCCAUGAAUCUUCAUAUGGCCUUCUGCAUAUCCUAAAGUUCCAUCUAAUCAAUAGGUUAAGCAUGGUGAUAAUCUUCACUUUCUUCGGAUGGUUGUAUAUGCAUAUGGUUAAAAUCUUCAAUACAUAUGCUUCAGCAAAUGUUCAAUCUACUCAAUCUUUUCCAUGAUAUAUGGAUAUCUAGCUUUUAGUUAGGUUCAAAUACAUUUUGACUAAACAUAAUUCCAUCAACUGUGAGGUCUUUAGAUUGAAUCAUUCAAAAAAUUCAAUUUGAAUUUUGAAGUUGCUGAUUCCAUUCACUGUAUCUUCCUCCUGUGAUAGAACAUUCUGCUUCUACUGUCAGAGCAGUUCUUGCAUAUGUUUAAAACGCUUCCAGCUUCUAUUUUCCUGUCCUUGGCUAAAUCUUCUCUUCUUUGAUUACGUAACCUAAAUGAUCUUUUAUUCGCAUGCCCACUCAUGAGAUUCCUUAAAAUGAUAAAAACUUUUGGAUAGGACGACCAUGAAUUGGUCAUCCAAUCAGCAGCCACUCACUUCAGACGUUUUUGUUCCAACAAAUGAGGAUAUCUUAGUGCCUUUA